rnacentral:tRNA from 1 species
GCGCAGGUAGCUCAGUAGGUAGAGCACGGCCCUGAAAAGGCCGGUGUCGGCGGUUCGAGCCCGCCCCUGCGCA